ensembl:lncRNA
ACAGGAAGAAAAGUUUUUCUUCGAUUCAGAUGCAACUUCUUGUAAUCCACUUUGUGCCCGUUGCCUCUUGUCCAGGCACUGGGCAGCACUGAAAAGAGCAGGCUGAAGAGUCCCAGCUCUCUUGGUCCUUCCUUGCAGGAGAGAUGACCCUCUGUCUGGAAAAGAUAGRGCCAAACAYYGGAGCAGUCCUUUCCUCCUCAGGCACCCGUGCCCCAUCUUGCAAUCUUACUCCCAGUGCCCCGCACCAGCCCUGUGAAUAAAGGAGUGUGUAAUCCGCGAGCACAGAGUGCAGAGGCUGCUGCUCUCCCUCCAGCGAAGGCUGCCUGAGAAAAACCCUCUUUGCCCUGGGUGCUGCAGGGAGAGGAAGGAGGGGCUUUGUGGGAGAGGGGAAAGCCCAUCCGUUCUUGCCGGUAUUUGUUCAAGCGACUGCACGGGGUCAUUUCCCAUCUGUGUGUGCAUCUCAGCCUUCCUCCGUGUUUCCAGCUGGGCUGCACACAUCGCUACCUCUUGUCAAAUCUGCCUGCAAGCAUUUGAAAAGUGCUGCAACAGCAGGCACAAACUUGCUCUCACGCCUUGGCUGAGCCCCCCCUGCCCUCCCUGUCUGCCGUGCCAGGGUUACCCAGAGCCCCUUCCCCUGGGGAUGAGGUGCCGGGAGGUGCUUGGGGCUGCAGGGAGGUGCCUAGCAUGAGGGUGUCAACCAGGUCGUUCCCAUGCCAGGUGUUGAAAUCCACAAAGCGAGGGGGAGAGAGACAGAGGCACAAAAUGAGGCUCUAAUUCCUAGUCAGGAGAAAAAUGCAACUGUUGGGAGAGUCUCCCCAAAGCCUGGCAUGCACUUGCUGCCCCCCAAGGAGACGUACCUCCCUGGGACAUGUGUCCAUCACUGUUCCCAGGUCACACAGCCGUUGUGUCUGUGGGAAUCACCUCAGGUCCCCAUGGAGCACAAGGCCCCCUUUUCCCUUUCCCAGAGUGUCACCUGGCCGGAGGCUCUUUUCCCACCCCUUUCUCCCCAUUUCUGCCUCCAGAURGAUGGYACUUAUURCGGGUUGAAGGAGGAGGUGCAGCAAAGGGCGCUUCCUUAUAUGACAAGCAAAACCCCUUGGGACCUGUGUCUCAGUGAGUAUAUGAGCAAGGAUGCCAUGCAUCCCUACUUGCGCCAGGUGUAAAGGUGUCUGCAGUGGCCAUCUGAUUUUCCUGAGUGCAAAGGAAAGGAAGUUUAGGCACUUUCAGACUCCUCAAAGGAAAGAGCAGUUUKCAGGGCAGUCGUGGGAAGGGAUUCCCAUGGGAAAAGAUCCCUUGGAGGGUGUCAUCUGCAAGCGGGAGUGUGGGUCUGGCCAGAGAGCUGAUUCUUCACCGAGGCACUUGAGAUGUCCGCAAAUGGGCAGAGCCACAAUGGGCUCAUCUCACUGUGCUGGGCACCACGUGGCCUGCUGGCUGUAGUCCCCAGCCCAUGAGGGCGGCAGGAGUAGGUGCCCCCGGUCCGUGCCCUGGUCUGUGAAGGGCUCCUGCUCCACCAAGCUGUCUGUUUGUGGAGGGAUGGGGUUAGGAGAGCUAAAGCCCCUCUGGAAUUGAAUCUGGCAAGGGACGUGAAAGGCAACAAGAAAGGCUGCUCUAAGUCCCUAAGCAGCAAGGAUAGCGAGGGCAAAUGCGGUCCCGCUGCUCAGCGGGGUCCCAGGGUCCCUGRUGACAAAGGACUCAGAAAAGUCAGCGGUACUGAAUGCCUUCUUCACCUCCGUCUUUAUGGGUCUUUACUGCCACUUCCAUAAGAGCGAGCAAGGUCACUCCAUCCAAAAGGAAAGAUAACCAAGGAAUUCAUGGAAGACUACUUCCUAUCAUCAUGGAUGGGCCUAGAGCAUCCUUUUCAUUCACACACAUGGAGAAAGGACCAUCUUUGGGAAGAAGCAGCAGCCUGCGACAAAAGACUGCUUUCAAACACAUGCACAGCUGCUACACAGUUAAUAGCAACAGCUAUUAACUAGUCUCUGCACAGUCGUUCUCCUUUCCUCGCUCAGGAAUUUAGCUUUAGUCAAGGCAGAAACUCUGAAUGCAUCACCAGAAAUAUUUCAAACCGGACUGGGCUGUAAAAAAAGGAAACCGAGCACUGCCACACGGAAAGAGACCAGAAGAGCAGCAGAAGAGAGAGCUAUUCCUAUUCCUAUUCUUACC